rnacentral:rRNA from 1 species
GUCGAACGCGCAGCGAGAGGUGCUUGCACCUUUCAAGCGAGUGGCGAACGGGUGAGUAACACGUGGAUAACCUGCCUCAAGGCUGGGGAUAACAUUUGGAAACAGAUGCUAAUACCGAAUAAAACUUAGUAUCGCAUGAUAUCAAGUUAAAAGGCGCUACGGCGUCACCUAGAGAUGGAUCCGCGGUGCAUUAGUUAGUUGGUGGGGUAAAGGCUUACCAAGACAAUGAUGCAUAGCCGAGUUGAGAGACUGAUCGGCCACAUUGGGACUGAGACACGGCCCAAACUCCUACGGGAGGCUGCAGUAGGGAAUCUUCCACAAUGGGCGCAAGCCUGAUGGAGCAACGCCGCGUGUGUGAUGAAGGCUUUCGGGUCGUAAAGCACUGUUGUAUGGGAAGAAAUGCUAAAAUAGGGAAUGAUUUUAGUUUGACGGUACCAUACCAGAAAGGGACGGCUAAAUACGUGCCAGCAGCCGCGGUAAUACGUAUGUCCCGAGCGUUAUCCGGAUUUAUUGGGCGUAAAGCGAGCGCAGACGGUUGAUUAAGUCUGAUGUGAAAGCCCGGAGCUCAACUCCGGAAUGGCAUUGGAAACUGGUUAACUUGAGUGUUGUAGAGGUAAGUGGAACUCCAUGUGUAGCGGUGGAAUGCGUAGAUAUAUGGAAGAACACCAGUGGCGAA